rnacentral:rRNA from 1 species
CCGCGUGUGUGAUGAAGGUCUUCGGGUCGUAAAGCACUGUGGGGAGAGACGAACAUGCGCAGGAGGAAAUGCCUGCGUUCUGACGGUACCUCCUUAGCAAGCACCGGCUAACUCUGUGCCAGCAGCCGCGGUAAUACAGAGGGUGCGAACGUUGCUCGGAUUUACUGGGCGUAAAGCGCGUGUAGGCGGACUCGCAAGUCGGUUGUGAAAUCCCUGGGCUUAACCUAGGAACUGCAUCCGAAACUGCUUGUCUUGAGUAAUGGAGAGGGUGGCGGAAUUCCCGGUGUAGAGGUGAAAUUCGUAGAUAUCGGGAGGAACAUCAGUGGCGAAGGCGGCCACCUGGACAUUUACUGACGCUGAGACGCGAAAGCGUGGGGAGCAAACAGGAUUAGAUACCCUGGUAGUCCACGCCGUAAACGAUGAGAACUAGGUGCAGCGGAUAUUGACCUCUGCUGUGCCGUAGCUAACGCGUUAAGUUCUCCGCCUGGGGAGUACGGCCGCAAGGCUAAAACUCAAAGGAAUUGACGGGGGCCCGCACAAGCAGUGGAGCAUGUGGUUUAAUUCGAAGCAACGCGCAGAACCUUACCAGGGCUAGACAAACUAAGAACCCGAAUGAAAGUUUGGGGUGCUCGCAAGAGAGCUUAGGUCCAGGUGCUGCAUGGCUGUCGUCAGCUCGUGUCGCGAGAUGUUGGGUUAAGUCCCGCAACGAGCGCAACCCUUAUCCUUAGUUGCCAUCAUUUAGUUGGGCUCUCUAAGGAGACUGCCGGGGUCAACCCGGAGGAAGGUGGGGAUGACGUCAAGUCCUCAUGGCCCUUAUGUCCUGGGCUACACACGUGCUACAAUGGUCGGUACAAUGCGCUGCGAAGCCGCGAGGUGGAGCGAAUCGCAAAAAGCCGGCCUCAGUACGGAUUGCACUCUGCAACUCGAGUGGCAUGAAGUCGGAAUUGCUAGUAAUCGCUGAUCAGCAGGCAGCGGUGAAUACGUUCCCGGGCCUUGUACACACCGCCCGUCACACCAUGGGAGUCGAGUGCUCCAGAAGUGGCCACGCUAACCCGCAAGGGAGGCAGGUCCCCAAGGAGUGUUUGGUAACUGGGGUGAAGUCGUAACAAGGUAACC